rnacentral:lncRNA from 1 species
GUCUGCGAUAGCAGAAAGAGGUUAUGAUGUCAAAACAUUAAUGUUGCUAUUCUGAUUUUCAACUCCAUGACGAUUAGGAUGUCGUGGUUAUACCGAUUCGACGCAAGUAAUGAUGAUAUGCUAAUGUUAUGUUCAACGAUGGUAAAAAAAAUUUAACUUGUAUUUCCUACUAUAAUAUUAAUUCCGGUUGUCCAUCUUAUUACAUCACAUAUAUUCGUCUUUCUGUUUCAAUUUUCGAUUUGAGCUCAUCGCGUUAUGGCUGGAUUUCGAUUACACUGUGAUUUUUUCUAAAAAAGGUCUGUAACAAUGUGAUAUGCAUUAUGUUGUUAUUAUGAUUGUUUGUACGCGAUAAUGACUUGGAUCGAGAUUGCUUUGGUAUCCACCGCUUUCAUUGCGACCUCUAUCCAUUUGUAUUCAUCAUCAAUGUGACGAUUCGGUUUCGACGGUGGAAUUUCCUGUGAGUCAAUACCGUUAGCUAUCAGUUUGAGACUGUGUCACUAUCAUAUUCUUUGGUUGUGUUGGUUGAAAUUUUGUGUGCAGGAAAAGAUCUCAAACAUAGAGGGGCCGUUUAAGUAGGCCGAAUAUAAGGAAAUGAGAGGGAGACGGUACGAACACCAACACACCAUAAAUAAGUCCUUCUUCCCAUGUUAUGCUUUCUUUAAAUCUUAUUUUUGUCCAUUUAAGAAUCAUUUCUGAUAUUAACUUAGUUUUGUUUUUUAUGGAUUAAAAAUUGGUCAUACCUUUAUUU